GACGAACCGUCCAAACGUUAUUCGGAAUUACUGGGCUUAAAGGGUGCGUAGGCGGCUCUGCAAGUUGGGUGUGAAAUCCCUCGGCUCAACCGAGGAAUGGCGCCCAAAACUGUGGAGCUCGAGGGAGACAGAGGUGAGUGGAACUUGUGGUGGAGCGGUGAAAUGCGUUGAUAUCAUAAGGAACACCGGUGGCGAAAGCGGCUCACUGGGUCUCUUCUGACGCUGAGGCACGAAAGCUGGGGGAGCGAACGGGAUUAGAUACCCUGGUAGUCCCU
rnacentral:rRNA from 1 species